AGGUCCCCCUGCCCCUGCCCCUGCUCCUGAGUGGGAGGCAGAGCUGAGGGAGUGCCUUGGAGGGCACCAAGAACCCAGGUGCCCUCACUGCCACUCAGGCCUGAAGGAGAACCUUCAGCAGGGUCAAAGGAACUGUUCUGUCCUGCCUUUCUUUGCAGAUGACCCUGAUGAUGAUCCUGAUGAUGAAGAUGAGCCUGUUGACAAAGAUGAUCCUGUGGACGAAGACUAUCCUGUGAAUGGAGACGAUCUGGAUUCCCUACGCAUACCCAUUACUGAGCCUCUGGGAGAUGCUGAGGGUGUGUCUGCAGGGAGGACUUUGGUGGAUGUUGCACGCAGGCCCAGCUCCCAUGGCAGGGGUGAGUAGCGUGUGCCUGCUGACCCCACAGGCUGAGCCCUCGUUUUGUGGGAUCCAUUCCUGGGAAACGGAAAUAUUUCUCUUAAGGUCCUCCAAGAAGGAAGAAGAAACCUAUAGGAGCUAGUACAUCCCUGGAGGAAUCCAAACAUCUGGAAAAACUCCUGAGUGGUGUGGACAGCCAGCGUGAUGCAGCCAGCACCUCAACACAUUCUGACAUCAUCUGGAAAAGCAUGAGAAGAGUUUUCUGCUGGGGAACACCUUGUUUGAUUAAGUUGAUGGCCAUUGUGGCUGGUGCGGCACUGUGCCUGAUGAUGUGCUGUGCAGCAAUCUGGUAUUGCUGGAAGAGAAAAUCGUGAGUGUUUUGCGAUUCUCUGCCUCAAACAGCUUCCUUUAAAUGCUGCUCAUAGUCAGGGAACAUUCCCAGAGAGUCUCCAGUGGAGCUGUGGCCAGUCCAUGAUUCUACAAAUAGCUCUGCGGAGCUUCCAUUGGCCUCUCAAUU